rnacentral:rRNA from 1 species
GAAAGUAGGAAAGGGCGCAUGGCGGAUGCCUUGGCUCUCGGAGGCGAUGAAGGACGUGAUAAGCUGCGAUAAGUCACGGGGAGGUGCAAAUAACCCUUGAUCCGUGAAUUUCCGAAUGGGACAACCCGUUACCUUGAAGAGGUAACAUCCAUCAAUGAUGGAGGCUAACGCAGGGAACUGAAACAUCUUAGUACCUGCAGGAAAAGAAAAUAACAAUGAUUCCCCCAGUAGUGGCGAGCGAACGGGGAAGAGCCCAAACCGUUCAUGUUACGGCAUGAACGGGGUUGUAGGACCGCGUCGUUGCAAGAAAUUUUGCGAGAAGAACGAUCUGGAAAGUUCGGCCACAGACGGUGACAGCCCGGUAUUCUAAGCAAGACGAAGCAUAGCGGUAUCCUGAGUAGCGCGGAACACGAGGAAUUCUGCGUGAAUCUGCCGGGACCAUCCGGUAAGGCUAAAUACUCCCGAGAGACCGAUAGUGGACCAGUACCGUGAGGGAAAGGUGAAAAGCACUUCGAACAGAAGAGUGAAAUAGUACCUGAAACCGUGCGCCUACAAGCGGUCGGAGCAUGAAAAUGUGACGGCGUGCCUUUUGCAUAAUGAACCUACGAGUUGCCGUCUUUGGCAAGGUUAAGGGACAUGAGUCCCGCAGCCGAAGCGAAAGCGAGUCUGAACAGGGCGUCAAGUCAGCGGCGGCAGACGCGAAACCAAGUGAUCUACCCUUGGCCAGGAUGAAGUCUGGGUAACACCAGAUGGAGGUCCGCACCAAUAAGCGUUGAAAAGCUUCUGGAUGAGCUGAGGGUAGGGGUGAAAGGCUAAUCAAACUUGGAGAUAGCUCGUACUCCCCGAAAUGCAUUUAGGUGCAGCCUUGCGGGUUACUGAUGUGAGGUAGAGCGACUGAUUGGAUGCGAGGGCUUCACCGCCUAUCAAGUCCUGACAAACUCCGAAUGCGCAUCAGUUCUACCGCAGGAGUGAGGGCAUGGGUGCUAAGGUCCGUGCCCGAGAGGAGAAGAAUCCGGACCACCGGCUAAGGUCCCGAAAUGACAGCUAAGUUAAACUAACGAAGUCUGAUUGCUAAGACAGCUAGGAUGUUGGCUUGGAAGCAGCCAUUCAUUUAAAGAGUGCGUAACAGCUCACUAGUCGAGGAAUCGGGCGUGGAUAAUAAUCGGGUAUAAAGUUGUCUACCGAAGCCGUGGGAUCAGCAAUGAUCGGUAGGGGAGCAUUCCAUUCCGCGUCGAAGGCGUGGCGUGAGCCAUUCUGGAGCGUAUGGAAAAGCAAAUGUAGGUAUAAGUAACGAUAAAGGGGGUGAGAAACCCCCUCGCCGAAAGACUAAGGUUUCCUGAUCAACGCUAAUCGGAUCAGGGUCAGUCGGGUCCUAAGGCUCAGCCGAACGGCGAGGCCGAUGGCAGAAACGGUUAAUAUUCCGUUACUACCUUUGAGGGUGACGUGGGGAAGCAGUAGUGACACUGCCGCGGGCUGACGGAAUAGCCCGUUAAAGAGUGUAGGCGUUGAUUUCCGCAGGCAAAUCCACGGAAAGAGCCGAACUUGACAGUAUGGAGCGUCCUUCGGGACAAUCCAAUAGCGCAGGUAAGCAGACUGCCGAGAAAAUCCGCUAAACAUAACUUCAGAGGUACCCGUACCGCAAACGGACACACGUAGUCGGGUUGAAUAUACUAAGGCGCUUGGGUGAAUCACGGUUAAGGAACUAGGCAAACUGACCCUGUAACUUCGGGAUAAAGGGUCCCUCCUCGCAAGAGAGGGCGCAGAGAAUAGGUCCAGGCAACUGUUUAACAAAAACACAGGGCUGUGCGAAUAUGAAAGUAGAAGUAUACAGCCUGACACCUGCCCGGUGCUGGAAGGUUAAGAGGAGAUGUCAUCGCAAGAGAAGCAUUGAAUUGAAGCCCCAGUAAACGGCGGCCGUAACUAUAACGGUCCUAAGGUAGCGAAAUUCCUUGUCGGGUAAGUUCCGACCUGCACGAAUGGUGUAAUGAUCCGGACGCUGUCUCAACCGUGAGCCCAGUGAAAUUGUAGUAUCGGUGAAGAUGCCGAUUACCCGCGAUGGGACGAAAAGACCCCGUGAACCUUUACUAUAGCUUAGCAUUGAAUUUGGGCACGCGAUGUG